rnacentral:rRNA from 2 species
AAGCCCUUCGGGGUGGAUUAGUGGCGAACGGGUGAGUAACACGUGGGCAAUCUGCCCUUCACUCUGGGACAAGCCCUGGAAACGGGGUCUAAUACCGGAUAACACCGGCUUCCGCAUGGAAGCUGGUUGAAAGCUCCGGCGGUGAAGGAUGAGCCCGCGGCCUAUCAGCUUGUUGGUGGGGUAAUGGCCCACCAAGGCGACGACGGGUAGCCGGCCUGAGAGGGCGACCGGCCACACUGGGACUGAGACACGGCCCAGACUCCUACGGGAGGCAGCAGUGGGGAAUAUUGCACAAUGGGCGAAAGCCUGAUGCAGCGACGCCGCGUGAGGGAUGACGGCCUUCGGGUUGUAAACCUCUUUCAGCAGGGAAGAAGCGAAAGUGACGGUACCUGCAGAAGAAGCGCCGGCUAACUACGUGCCAGCAGCCGCGGUAAUACGUAGGGCGCAAGCGUUGUCCGGAAUUAUUGGGCGUAAAGAGCUCGUAGGCGGCUUGUCACGUCGGGUGUGAAAGCCCGGGGCUUAACCCCGGGUCUGCAUCCGAUACGGGCAGGCUAGAGUGUGGUAGGGGAGAUCGGAAUUCCUGGUGUAGCGGUGAAAUGCGCAGAUAUCAGGAGGAACAC